rnacentral:rRNA from 1 species
CAGUAGCCGCGGUAAUACGUAGGGUGCAAGCGUUAAUCGGAAUUACUGGGCGUAAAGCGUGCGCAGGCGGUGGUUUAAGUCCGUUGUGAAAGCCCUGGGCUCAACCUGGGAAUUGCAGUGGAUACUGGGUCACUAGAGUGUGGUAGAGGAUAGUGGAAUUUCCGGUGUAGCAGUGAAAUGCGUAGAGAUCGGAAGGAACAUCUGUGGCGAAGGCGACUAUCUGGGCCAACACUGACACUGAGGCACGAAAGCGUGGGGAGCAAACAGGAUUAGAUACCCCAGUAGUCCCUGUCUCUUAUAC